rnacentral:misc_RNA from 1 species
GGCCACAGUUUGAAAUGAAUAUUACAGGCAAAUUAUGUAUGCUGAAAUUAAUUUUUGUUUGAUGAGAAAAGAUAGAUAACGAUACACCAAAUAUUCAGCUUUGAAAAAUCUCUUUUUCCUUUUAUUUUAUUUUAUUUUUUCCCAUCUCCUAUGUACUAAAUACUAUCCUUCUUAAUCUAACUAAAAUUCUCAAACAUAGUUUUACUGUGUGCACUUUUGUCUCACAUUAAAAUGGAA